ensembl:lncRNA
GUUUCUUGGAGGAGGAAAUGGCAACCCACUCCAGGAUUCUUGCCUGGAGAAUCCCAUGGACAGAGGAGCCUGGUGGGCUGCAGUCCAUGGGGUCGCAGGGAGUAGGACAUGACUGAGCGACUGAGCAUAGAGAUGUUUAAACUAGUUUAUAAGGCAACUCUGAUAGUAGUAUACUACAAAGGAGGGCAAAGAUUGGAGGCAGGGAGGCCCAUCAGGAGAUAUUGGAGAUGUAAGUAAAAGGAGUAUCUGCAAACAGGCAGUAUAAAUGGCAUUACCUCUAAAGGUGGAGAUACAAGUUAUUUUAGAGGUAGGAUUGAUGGGGAUUUAGAAACCCAUCAGAUAAGUGGGGUUAAGGAGAGAAAUCAACCCUGAAUAUUCAUUGGGAGGACUGAUGCUGAAGCUCCAAUACUUCAGCCACCUGAUGCGAAGAGCUGACUCAUUGGAAAAGACUCUGAUGCUGGGAAAGAUUGAAAGCAAAAGGAAAAAGAGGUUGCAGAGGAUGAGAAGGUUAGAUAGCACCAUUGGUUCAUGGAUAUGAAUUUGAACAACUCCGAGAGAACAAAUUUGUGGAGGAUAGAGGAGCCUGGUCCAUGGGGUUGCAAAGAAUUGGACACAACUUAGCAACUGAACAACAACAAGGAGAGAACUGAGUCAAAGACAACAUCAGUUUCUUAACAAUGGUAUGUACUGGCAGAGCAGUGCUGCAGGACUGAGGUGCCACAGGUCAUUCAUCUGGAGAUACACAGCAGGCAAUGAAGAUGAUGCUAUGGACACAUAACAGCCCCAAGAUAUUGUAUGGAGGAUAGCUGUUAACCUAUUUGUGUCUCCACCAGUGUAAGUAAUAGGUGGUGUGAUGUGGUCAACAUGACAGAGGAUACAGAUAUUUAAAAUCUAUAUUCAAGUCCCAGGCCCAUCAAUCACCGGAUGUUUGAAAUGGAGCAUAUCAUCAAACUUGUCUGAGUGGCACUUCCUCCUCUAGAGAUACCAAAACACCUAAUUCAAGAGGAGUCUUUUGAGGUUUGGAAGACACAGCACAUGAGAGAGCACUUUGCAUACUGAGAAGCCCAAUACAAAGGCCAAACACAUUAUAACAAGAGAAGAGAAAUAAAACAAAGGAUCAGACCCAAGAAGGAACUUCCCAACAGGGCCUUGAGCUUCCCAUUUGUCAGUGCACCUGUCCCCGGGGUCACCUGGCCAUAAGAUGUUGUCUGGUUUACUGCAUUUUACUCAGCCAACAGAGCUUUGUCAACACCUGCUACUACAGGGUGUUUGCAGAUUGUGCUGUUUGGAAGGAGCUUCCAUCUCAUGAUUGUGACUGAAAGUUGCUAUCUGGUACUGAUUUCACCCAUUUCUGUCCCUGAACCUGUAGCGGCAUUUAGGAGGAUUGAUAAGAACACAAAGGAAGCAGCCUCUCUGAUUCUCUGAAAGUCAUUUUAAUUUACUUGUUUCCAUUAAUUAUUUAUUUCAGUUGACUGCUCAUCAUUGUCAUAACAACUGUAGUUCUUUCUGUGCAAAACUCAAAACAGAAUUUUGAGGGAUGGUCAGCUUCUUAUAAGCAGCUGGAAACUGAUGGGAAAUAGAAAGAGAUAAAGCAGAGUCACGGGAGAUAGAGGGGCUUACUUGAAUACGAGGGAUCCUUACGAAACUAUUUUUCACUAAUAGAUUAUUAUUUGUAAUAAUUCUUCAAACCUAAUAUUGUAAAUCAGCUAUUUGUUAAUGGCUUUUAGGAAAUAUCUAGAACCAGACAGAAAUAUUAACAAAGAUUGUUCAUAAUAUGUUUGUUGGAAGUGAGUUUUCUUUUGUUGGAAGGCACAUGAUUCAUCCAUUUUGGUUUUAUUGAACUUUGAAUAAAGUCUUUUUCUAGUUUCCAGAGGAAGCUCCUUGCCCCCAAGAUAGAAUAAGUGAUAGCAGUAUAUAUUUGUGUACAUUUU